GCAUAUACCAAUGAUGGCCAAACUCGGCCCUCCAGCUGUUUUGGAACUACAGUUCCCAUCAUCCCUGACCACUGGUCCUGUUAGCUAGGGAUGGUGGGAGUUGUAGUCCCAAAACAGCUGGAGGGCCAAGUUUGGCCAUCACUGGCAUAUACU